rnacentral:rRNA from 1 species
AGAGUGAACGCUGGCGGCAGGCCUAACACAUGCAAGUCGAACGGCAGCACAGAGGAGCUUGCUCCUUGGGUGGCGAGUGGCGGACGGGUGAGGAAUACAUCGGAAUCUGCCUUAUCGUGGGGGAUAACGUAGGGAAACUUACGCUAAUACCGCAUACGACCUACGGGUGAAAGCGGAGGACCUUCGGGCUUCGCGCGAUAAGAUGAGCCGAUGUCGGAUUAGCUAGUUGGUGGGUAAAGGCCCACCAAGGCUACGAUCCGUAGCUGGUCUGAGAGGAUGAUCAGCCACACUGGAACUGAGACACGGUCCAGACUCCUACGGAGGCAGCAGUGGGGAAUAUUGGACAAUGGGCGCAAGCCUGAUCCAGCCAUGCCGCGUGUGUGAAGAAGGUCUUCGGAUUGUAAAGCACUUUAAGUUGGAGGAAGGCAGUUACCUAAUACGUAUCUGUUUUGACGUUACGACAGAAUAAGCACCGGCU